rnacentral:ncRNA from 21 species
AGCCUCUGGAGAGUCUCAUUAUGGGCACCGAAGGAGCAAGCCAGCGUGUAGCUGGUGAACCUCUCAGGUACAAGGGACAGAGUGUAGCAG